CUUCCCCAUGAAGCCCCUAGGCUGGGGCUUGAAGCCUUACAGGAUCCCAGGGAGCAGAAGAGCAGCAGACCGAUCUGCAGAGGUUUGUUGCGCAGCUUGAACAAGGAGAGAGCGCUCAGCGGCACAUGAAGAAUCAUCCACAUUUCUUCUUCACUGAUGCUGCCACCAUCAUUUGAGGUACAGAAACAGGAUGUUACAAAGAGGAGCGACUUCACUAAACAUCAAGGGAUGGCGAUUUCACAAAUUGAAAAGCCUGAGGGAUCAAUCUAUUGCUACAGAAGAAUGGGAAUAUGAAGCAGGCAAACUGUAUGCGUGGCCCCAGGUAUUAUCUCUGGAGGAUACUGGACGAUUUCCAUCCACAGCAGAUGCAUAAAUC